UUUCUAGCAAGCCAGGUGACAGGCAGCAUGACAGCACAGAUGCUACUUUUUGUAAUGCUCUUGCUAUGGAUUCAAAACACCAGUGGGCAGGUUAUGUUGACUCAGUCUCCAGAGUGGCUCUCUGUCCUCCCUGGAGAAACUGUUACUAUCAAAUGCCAAUCUGAUACAGACAUUGAUGAUGACAUGAACUGGUACCAGCAGAAAUCCAGAGCUGCUCCUAAGCUCCUUAUCUAUGAAGUUUCUAAUCGUCAAACGGGGGUCCCAGCCCGUUUCAGCAGCAGUGGCUAUGGGACAGAUUUCACUUUCACCAUCAGCAGUGUUGAAAAUGAUGAUGCUGGAGAUUAUUACUGUCAGCAAGGUGAUCGUACCCCACUCACAGUGUUAGAGACCAAUACAAAAACCUCUCCCUGCUGCACAGUAUGUUCUGCCCGGGCCAUCUGUUCUACAGCAGUUACAUACAGGGCACUUCUCAGAUCUACAGCACUUCCCUACUCAGUCAUGCACGCACAGGAAACCACAUAA